rnacentral:lncRNA from 1 species
AAAAAUGUUUUAAAAAAUUAAAGAACCUUAGUGAGCACGCUCACAUACCCCACGUCCCCACAUUGUCAUUGGAGAAAUUAAAUAAGUAUAAGAAAAAAUAUUGAAUAAUAAUUUCCUGUCAAUAUACACAUCUACAUAGUAUGUCCUUAUUAUCUACAAAAUUUCAUGAAAUUCUGUUGUGUGUUUUCAGAGGAGUUGAGAUGACAAACUGUUGCAGAAGUACAUUGAAGCAAAUAAGUUCAAAGGGGCGUAACUCCUAGAAAUAAAAUUGAAUCGUAAUUUCCCGUCGAUAUGCACAACUACAUAGUAUGUCCUUAUUAUCUGAAAAGGUUUCAUGAAAUUCUGUUGUGUAGUUUCAGAGGAGUUGCGAUGACAAACUGUUGCAGUAAUACAUUGAAGCAAAUAAGUUCAAAGGGGCGUAACUCCUAGAAAUAAAAUUGAAUCGUAAUUUCCCGUCGAUAUGCACAACUACAUAAUAUGUCCUUUUCAUAUAAAAGAUUUCGUGAAAAUUCUGUUGUGUGGUUUGAGAGGAGUUGCGAUGACAAACUGUUGCAGUAGUACAUUAAGUAAAUAAGUUCAAAGGGGCGUAACUCCUAGAAAAAAAUUGAAUCGCAAUUUCCCGUCGAUAUGCACAACUACAUAGUAUGUCCUUAUUACCUGAAAAGGUUUUGUGAAAUUCUGUUGUGUGGUUUGAGAGGAGUUGCGAUGACAAACUGUUGCAGUAGUACAUUAAAGUAAAUAAGUUCAAAGGGGCGUAACUCCUAGAAAAAAAAUUGAAUUGCAAUUUCCCGUCGAUAUGCACAACUACAUAGUAUGUCCUUAUUAUCUGAAAAGGUUUCGUGAAAUUCUGUUGUGUGGUUUGAGAGGAGUUGCGAUGACAAGAAACAGGACUGACGGACUGACGGACGGACGGACGGACUGACGGACGGACGGACUGAAGGACGGACGGGUCAAAAACAUUAUACCCUCCGCAACUUCGUUGCGUGGGGUAUAACAA